rnacentral:rRNA from 1 species
CAGGUCUUGACAUCCCACUGACCGGCUUAGAGAUAGGCUUUUCCCUUCGGGGACAGUGGUGACAGGUGGUGCAUGGUUGUCGUCAGCUCGUGUCGUGAGAUGUUGGGUUAAGUCCCGCAACGAGCGCAACCCUUGAUCUUAGUUGCCAGCAUUCGGUUGGGCACUCUAAGGUGACUGCCGGUGAUAAACCGGAGGAAGGUGGGGAUGACGUCAAAUCAUCAUGCCCCUUAUGACCUGGGCUACACACGUGCUACAAUGGACGAUACAAAGGGCUGCAAACCCGCGAGGGGGAGCCAAUCCCAUAAAAUCGUUCUCAGUUCGGAUUGUAGGCUGCAACUCGCCUACAUGAAGCCGGAAUCGCUAGUAAUCGUGGAUCAGCAUGCCACGGUGAAUACGUUCCC